GCCGACAGCAUUCCGAGACCAGCCGUUGAAAAAGCAGGUCUGAGCAGAUCUGCACCACCCAGGCCAGUGUAAUCCAUGGGCUCAUGGGAUGUGGAAGUUGAAGUAGUGGGACCCAAAGGUGAGAGCCCUCAGGAUCCUGGUGACUAUUCCCAAAGAUACCUGAAAGAAACUGAAACAAAGGACAGUGAUUGUAAAGUGUGUGAGUGAUGGCUGGACCCAGACUAAAAGGAGAUUAGUCUGUAAAAGGAAGCAUUCUGGAACUGCUGCUGGUCAUCUUGAUCCGAUUGCCUGGUCUGGUGGUCUUGAUCCAAAGAUCUGACUCUGCACAGAAAAGACUGCACCUUGACUGUCUCUAUAAAGGACAUCCCCCGAGCAAUGGUUGCUCAGACUAAUUUAAUCUUUUUAAAGACACACACCUGUCUAACCUGUACUAAUAACAGUAAAUGUAAUAACAAACAGCUAAAGGUGCAUAGGACUAUAUUGAACAUGAAAUGAACAAAAAACAUGCAACACUGUACUAUUAAAUAUUUUCAUUAAUGACUUUCAUUAGUAAUCAUUAAGGACGGUCAUCAAUUGUUUUCCAUGUCCACUGAAAGUAGGACAAGAAAUAAUGGACUUAAUUUGCAACAAGGGAGAUUUAGGUUAGAUAUUAGAAAAAAAUUUCUAACUAAAAGGGUAGUUAAGCUCUGGAAUAGUCCAAGAAGUAUCCUCAUCAUUGGAGGUUUUUGAGAAAAACUUGGACAAACAUCUUGUGACGUUGCACUCCAUAAGAUUUUAUGAACAUAUGCUAAUGAGUGUGAAUAUAAUGUAACUGGAGUAUGCUUCAUGCAAAAGGCUCUCUUGUAAGGUAUCAUUACAAAGUUUAUAAACUACUGAGUUUGUUCAUCCUAUUUGUAUGAAUGUAUCAUUCUUGUAUCUGAAAUUAGAAAUAUGAAAUAUAACUCUGAGGUCCUAUUGCAAUUAUGCAAAGUGUGGGCCAUUAAUGGUGGUUUGGAAUCUUGAUGGCUCCCGUUAACCAGGACAAUUGACUGAAGAUGGCCCUGUUUACUUGCAAGCCUUCCUGUGAGUCAGGCCAGGAAGAAUGAAGGCUUGGGGUCUCCCAAGACACGUGACCAUGUCACCUGGUACUGGAAUCCAUCUUAAACUUGGUGCUUUGCCAUUAGAAGGAGGGGUGGGGACCCAGAGAGACAAAAGAUUCUUGCCUUGUGCCAAAGCUAUAAAGGGGGUGGAACAGAACAAAGUGGGCUGCAGCCAUGAGAAAUCCCCUAGCUACCACCUGAGCUGGAACAAGGACUGUACCAGGGGAAGGGAUUGGGCCCAGACUAGAAAGGAGUCUAGUCUGUGAAAGAAACUUAUUGGAACAUCUCUGAGGGUGAGAUUUCAUCUGUAUUCAGUUUCCUACUGUAUUAGGCUUAGACUUGUAUAUUUUAUUUUAUUUUGCUUGUUCUCUCUGUUAUUACUUGGAACCAUGUAAAUCCUACUUUUUAUACUUAA